GACGAACGCUGGCGGCGUGCUUAACACAUGCAAGUCGAACGGAAAGGCCCUGCUUUUGUGGGGUGCUCGAGUGGCGAACGGGUGAGUAACACGUGAGUAACCUGCCCUUGACUUUGGGAUAACUUCAGGAAACUGGGGCUAAUACCGGAUAGGAGCUCCUGCUGCAUGGUGGGGGUUGGAAAGUUUCGGCGGUUGGGGAUGGACUCGCGGCCUAUCAGCUUGUUGGUGGGGUAGUGGCUUACCAAGGCUUUGACGGGUAGCCGGGCUGAGAGGAUGAGCGGCCACACUGGGACUGAGAUGCGGCACAGACUCGUACGGGAGGCAGCAGUGGGGAAUAUUGCACAAGGGGCGGAAGCCUAAUGCAGCAACGCCGCGUGCGGGAUGACGGCCUUCGGGUUGUAAACCGCUUUCGCCUGUGACGAAGCGUGAGUGACGGUAAUGGGUAAAGAAGCACCGGCUAACUACGUG
rnacentral:rRNA from 1 species